rnacentral:rRNA from 1 species
AACGAACGCUGGCGGCAUGCCUAACACAUGCAAGUCGAACGAGAUCUUCGGAUCUAGUGGCGCACGGGUGCGUAACGCGUGGGAAUCUGCCCUUGGGUUCGGAAUAACAGUUAGAAAUGACUGCUAAUACCGGAUGAUGUCUUCGGACCAAAGAUUUAUCGCCCAGGGAUGAGCCCGCGUAGGAUUAGGUAGUUGGUGGGGUAAGAGCCUACCAAGCCGACGAUCCUUAGCUGGUCUGAGAGGAUGAUCAGCCACACUGGGACUGAGACACGGCCCAGACUCCUACGGGAGGCAGCAGUGGGGAAUAUUGGACAAUGGGCGAAAGCCUGAUCCAGCAAUGCCGCGUGAGUGAUGAAGGCCUUAGGGUUGUAAAGCUCUUUUACCCGGGAUGAUAAUGACAGUACCGGGAGAAUAAGCUCCGGCUAACUUCGUGCCAGCAGCCGCCGUAACAC